GACGUAGGGCGCGAGCGUUUGUCCGGAUUUAUUGGGCGUAAAGAGCUCGUAGGCGGCUUGUCGCGUCGAAUGUGAAAUCUCAGGGCUCAACUCUGACAUUGCAUUCGAUACGGGCAGGCUAGAGUUCGGUAGGGGAGACUGGAAUUCCUGGUGUAGCGGUGAAAUGCGCAGAUAUCAGGAGGAACACCGAUGGCGAAGGCAGGUCUCUGGCCGAUACUGACGCUGAGGAGCGAAAGCGUGGGGAGCGAACAGGAUUAGAUCGUCGUA
rnacentral:rRNA from 1 species